rnacentral:lncRNA from 1 species
AAGGUCGGAAGGUUCUUCAGAGCCCCGGGGGAGAAUAGCUAAAGGCAGCUGUUACAAUAUUUCUAUAUAUACUGUUGCUGUUGAGCUGAUAACUGUUUUCCCAUGAUGAAAUCCUAACUUUAAAAUCCCCUAGAACUUGGAAAUCCCCUGCAGGCACAAAUUACUUACUGCACAGUCACUUCACUUUCGUUUACUAGGAUUCCCUCGCGAUCCGCAGCAGAGUUCCUCACACUGCGCACCACCCGCGGGGUCUGUCCCACAGACCUUGGCUGAUGGAUGAAAUGAGUACUCAAAGACACAGAGGGAGGCAUUGCAGAGAGACCCCUUUCAAAGCACACAGGAAGUGGCUGAAGUCAAUAAAGAAACAGAAGAACAAUUUGAAUGAAGAUGGAUCAAAAAGAAGACAGACAUUUCUAAAAAGCCAUCUUUAAAUAUACCAUUUUACAAGCUCCCUAGUAAAUAUCUUGAGACAAAAUUGGAUGACUACACAUUUAGCAUGUUAUCAUGAUGCUUUGAAAAUAUGUAUGUGUACAUAUAUAUGUAAUAUUUAUACACAAAAUGUAUAACAUAAUAUUUCAUAUGAUAAUAAAUAUAAAUGUAAAUAUAAAUUUGACUUAAGAAGGGAGUAUAUGUUGAUAGCGUUGAAGUAAGCUUAGAUGAUCACCUUAAAUGUUGUUACUGUCUUUGUUGCCAUAGAAUAAACACUUAAAGAGAAAUAACAACUUUGUUUUCAGUUUGGAGCAUAUUUUUGGCCCUGGGAUUAUUGAUUAGAGAGAUUAAUAUGUAUUUUCCUUAUUUCAUCUGUAAAAUUUAAGUUAUUUUUAAACAGUUAUUUUAUUUACACAUAAUGUCAGGCUGGCACCUGGAACAAUAAAU